GUGUUUAUCCAGUUCCCUGUAGAUUGAUUUUAAUGUGUGUUUAUUUUUAUGCUGCUGCCUCUGUGGAAAGCAGGAGCUGGAAAAAAAAAAUAAAACCCUCUGGCACAGCUGUACAGCUGUCCCUAACCAAUACUGUAAGGACAUUCAAUAGUACUACCAAAUACAUUUCUAAUACUCAGUAGCUGCCGCACAUUUAUUCUGUGCAUGCCUCUCCUCCUUUUGCUCAGCUUGGUUUCUGGUUCCUUUGCUAUUGUCGCUCUUGAUCAUUAACAGACCAGUGGCAUAUUGCACUCACAGCUGGCAUGGUGCUUUCCUGUCUAUAUGCCUUCAUGUAAGAAAGGCACUGAAUCGAUGCCUUGCCAGUGUGCCUAAAGGUUGAAGGAAUAACUAAAAAACUGCUGACACGUGCUUGUUUUCUCAAAAUAAACCUUGUGCCCGUGACGUUAUAAGCUCCAACUGCCCAGGGGAUUUCUUCCUCCGGCUGUGUGGAAGUUGACAGUGAAAAGAAACCUUCUGACAUGGAAAUCCUUUCCUUUCUCCAGGUUGUUUUCCUACUAACCAAGAUCACUGCCAGAGCUACAGUGCAGCAAGGGGAGCCAGGCCUCCCACCCAGCCCUGUGCCAGUGGAGGCCUCACGGCCAGGCCCACCCUGGUUCCCUGCAGAGAGCCCUAUUUCCAGUCCCAUCUCCAGCCCUGCAGGCCCUAGGGUGGGGCUGGGGCAGCUGCUGUGUGGUAGGCCUUGAUGCUCUGGAAGACUUACGAUUCCAUGAACACCAACAUGCAGCUCAGGGCACCUUGGUGCUACAUGAUUGGAACAGGGAUGCGGCAUGAGCUGCAGGAAAAUGGUGUCUCAGGCCAAAGAGCUCCUGAGGCUUUGUAUGGAACACUUGUGCUUUCACUUGAACUCUUGCCUACAGGGUUUGAGGUGGAAGCUUCUGUGCCUUCUGGUGCUUUUCCCAUAGGGUCUGACAUAAAGAACUGAAAAUCAGGUGGAAUACCCAGGGCUUCUAACUUGCUUUGCAAAAACAGAGUGUAAUGUGCUGAAAUGGGAGUGUCAGACUUUGGCUUUCUUAAAUUUCCUGCCUAUUGUUGAUUUAUAUCAGAUCUUUAAAGCUAUUUAAACACAGUGUGUUGUUUGCAUUUCCUCAGUAAAAAUGAGUGAAAAGGAUGACAUGUUUCAUUGAAGUUUUAUACGUGCAUUAUUGUCAGAAAGACCCAAGGGGUUCUUCUGGUGUCAGCACAUCCAUAGGGCACUUGUUACUAACAUGCAUAAUACACAUCAGGUAGACCUUGUGGCUCUGAGACGUUUGUCACUCUGUCUUCCUUUAAACACAUGCCUAUAAUACUUUGUGUAUGACACAGACAAAAACAUACGCAUCUGUGGUGUGUAUGUGUAUAUUACAGAUAGACACCACUCCAUGAAACUCUCUAGUCUCUCUUAUAAAACACACAGAAUUUAUGCCAUAUGUGGAAAAUUUCUGUACCAAAUUAGAUGUUAAAAGUUUUAUGCAUACUCAGUUGAUUUUUCAAUCACGCUACCAGGAGCUUUUAAGAAAAAGAGAUGUUUCAAAGCUAUCAAAAGGAACUGUUUGCUAUAUGAUUACUGCCAGUGCUUACUUUCAAUUAAAACUAUCCUGACAAAAAGCAAGAAUAAAAAGUAUAUGAAAAUAAGUACCUUGAGAGCCAUUCUGUUACGCUAAUUCUUGCAACUCUUUGUUCCUAAGAGCGCCAGAGGCCAGUUACAAUUCUGGGAGCAGUUCACAAGGAUAUCCCUUUUUACCAAUUCACACUUGGUCUACACUAAUGGUCUUUUUCUUUCUUUUCCUUUUCAAAGUGGCGAUAAAAGCACUGAGCUCUGUGGCUGAGUUCAAAGCUUUGCAUCAGUGGCUGGAGACAGCAGAAGGCAGGCUGCAGCCUGCAGCCACAGGGAGUCGUGCCUUGGAGAUGGGGACACCACUCAUACCACAUCGUUGUGGCCAGUGGGCAGUCAGCAGCUCAGCCUGGCCGCAUGGUCUCCAACACUGUGAGGGCAAACCGCAGCAAGCAUCUGGACAAGCAGAAAAUAUAACACAGCAAGGCUUCUUUUGACCUCUUUCUCACUCACGUGCAAAGCUGCUUUUACUAGAGAAGUCCCAGGGAUGAAGCUUCUUUGGCAGUAUUCUCUGAAUUCCUUGAUAUACAACUGAAGUGCUGAGAAUACUGUAAUAGUCAUUCAUCACAGCACAAAAGAAGCAAAGGCCAAGUCGUUACAGAACGCAUCCAGCAGCUGCACUGAUACUGUUUUGACAGUACUGCCUGAAAGCUGGUUUGUAUCCUAUUUACAAAGUAGGAAUGAAUCUCCCCAUUUACAGUACCAGGAUGGCUGAAGUUCAGAGUGUUUGGCACCGCAGCCUGGAUGGAACUGCAGUGUACAUCACACAGUGGUGAGCUUUAUGUCUAGGGCCUGCUGAUGCAGACAUGUCAUUUAGUCAUGUAAAUGUAGGGAUUUCAUUAAAAAGCAAAGUAAAUAGGUUUGUGCGUAUAGGUACAUAGGUCUUAGCACAUGCAAUUACUUGCCAGACUUUUGAGCAGAAGGCAGUAAGAGCAACAUACGCACGUAUCAAAAUUAUCCUGGGACCUGGACAAAAUGCAAAAGCCUGAAUCGCAGGGAUCCAUGCUGCCCACUCUCCAGCACUGUCCAAUCCGCUAAACACUUGCUCUUAGAAACGUCUUAGACUGCCAUCAAAUCCCUCAAAGCAAAGUUUUGAGUAGGUUCAAAUACAGCCCAAGCUGAGGAAAUGCCACACAUUUCUCACCUAAAAUCUGUCAUGCUCUGGACUAACCAGACAAGAUGUCUGGCUUCUUCUGAAAUCCCCAGCAGCACAUAGCCUAGUGUAGUCUGAGUUCAGCUUUCAGGAUCUCUGGUGAUAGCCAUCUCGCCUUGGAAAUGGGGCACUUCUUGAACUGAGAGGGUUUUAGUCUACAGCUCCUAGACACCAAAAGAAUGUUUAUGUUGCUGUGCAAGGGACAUUCAGAGAAGAGGUGAGCUUUGCUGCUGCUAAAGCUAAGACACUUUGUAGGUGGUGCAUAAAAAGCCACAUAGAGAAGAGGAAAGCAUGAAAGAUAAAUUUAUAUUUGAAUAUAUUUUUAAAAUAUUAUAAGAAAUUGUGUUGACAGUAGGAGGAGAUGAUUGUCCUCCUGUGCUCAGCUCUGGUGAGGCUGCACUUUGAGCACUGU